UAGUGCGUUCUCGAGAAUUGUAAACAACUUCCAGUAAAUUUGAUUUGGCAGCUAGUAGCAUGCACAUAAUUAGUUCUUAUAAAAACUCAUUAUCAACCGCUGAGAUUCAUGUUUUCUUUCCUGUUCAGCAGCUGUUAAGCACGUCUGUGCAAACGUACCUGUACGUAAACAGCUCUUUACCAGUAUAGGUACAGUGUUUCAGAAACUCAGUAAGUUGUCAAAAAUUACUGGAAUCGUGCCCAUAUUUAUUGUGAUCUUCUAGGGAGAGCAAAUAAAUUACAGUCUAGACGUCGAGCUUGUCCCAGUCAACUGUUGAUAUCCGCCAUAUCAUACGUGGGAUCGCUUGCAGUCUAUCAGUUCGAGGUGCCACGGUACCGGUGAACGAUUUGGAUUUGAAAUCUUAGUGAAAAUGAACACUUUAUCGAAAUUACCGAAUAAUUUUCUCGGUUUGACUGCAUUUUUUGUCAUGGGAAUGAUUUCUGAAUUUCGAUGUAAUGACGCAGAUUGUGGUAAUCUGCGGUCGUGAUAGAGCAUACCCAUUAUGAAUGCUUACAGCCGGAAGAAAUGGAGAUCUGGUGUGAGUCGCAUUCGUUUCCGGUUGCCCCGCGGUCUGUGACAUUCACCAAAAUUUUCCAAGGAACCAAAUCGACGCUCAGGCGCAACAAAUCAACUGAUAUUAUUACGAAAACGUACGCGACAAAGAACGGUGUUUGCCAAAUGGUUCCUGCUCUGCCAGCUUUGGACGGAUCGAAAAUCAGUAUAGCCGUUGUGGCACUGGAUAGAAGUUGCAACGGUUUGUAUUCUUGUUAUCAUGCUGCUCAGGGACAUGCCCGAAGCUGGCUCCUUAACGUGACCAAUAUUUCUUGCGAUCCGGCAACCAUCAAAUUAGACAGCAAAAAAAUUUUGGUUCCAACAGAACUUUUCUACCCAAACAACGCUUCACUUCGUGCCGAUGACAAUCUUGACCAGAGGAUCGAAAUAACCCCAUUUCCGGUUGAACAAAAUAAACCGAAAAAUGGAGGCGGUAUUCAAAAGUUGGCGCCAUGGAUAGUUGCCGGAAUCGUCGGAAGUGCUUUGCUUGUCGCUGGUAUCGUGUUUGUUACAAUGAAACAUCGUCGGCAGCGCAGAGCUGUCCAGCAGAAUGCACAAUAUGUACUUACUGUGCGUUAUGAAGUGUGAAUUGGAACGAAGGAAGACGUGCAAGCACGAAUCAAGAUGCAUCGUAACUGGCAAAUAUGGAGGAAGCGAGAAUAUUGUUCGUUCAGCAGCAUUUAUUUACUGCCUCUUUACAAACCGAUACAGUUCUCUUUGAAAACUAUAUGCGGCGAAACCAUAAUGUCUGCGUAUCCGUGGUUAGCAACUGAAGGUUUGUUCAUGUGUUGUUUCUGCUCUGCUGAAUAUCAGUAAUUCGCAUUCAAUACUCUUGCGGAAUCGAGAUUCCUUAGUAUUAAAUUUCCUGAUAUUCGUUG